UCGGGAAUUUUGGGCAAUGGGCGAAAGCCUGACCCAGCAACGCCGCGUGAAGGAUGAAGUAUUUCGGUAUGUAAACUUCGAAAGAAUAGGAAGAAUAAAUGACGGUACUAUUUAUAAGGUCCGGCUAACUACGUGCCAGCAGCCGCGGUAAUACGUAGGGACCAAGCGUUGUUCGGAUCUACUGGGCGUAAAGGGCGCGUAGGCGGCAAUUCAAGUCAUCUGUGAAAUCUCCGGGCUUAACUCGGAACGGUCAGAUGAUACUGCUUUGCUAGAGUGCAGAAGGGGCAAUCGGAAUUCUUGGUGUAGCGGUGAAAUGCGUAGAUAUCAAGAGGAACACCUGAGGUGAAGACGGGUUGCUGGGCUGACACUGACGCUGAGGCGCGAAAGCCAGGGGAGCAAACGGGAUUAGAUACCCCGGUAGUCCCUGAGCGGGCUGGCAAGGCGCAU
rnacentral:rRNA from 1 species